rnacentral:tRNA from 1 species
GUUAGCAUAGUUUAACUAAAACAUUAGGCUGUGGCUCUAAAAAUAGAGGUUAAAACCCUCUUACCAACC